UCUGGGUUAGCUCAGUUGGUUAAAGUAUGAGAUUCUUAAUCUCAGGGUUCUGGGUUCAAGCCCCACACUCGAAC